UGGGAGGAGUCUCUCGUGUGAGCACGUCAGUCCUCAGAGCCCACACCAUGGGGUCCGCACUCUUUUGGGCUUUUCUUCUCAUCGCUGUCAACGGUUCCCUGUCCCAAGUUCAGCUGGUGGAGUCUGGAGGAGGCUUGGUGAAGCCUGGAGGGCAACUGACCCUCUCCUGUAAAGCCUCUGGAUUCACCUUCACUGACUACAGCAUGAACUGGGUCCGCCAGGCUGCAGGGAAGGGGCUGGAGUGGGUGGCAACAGUGAGUCAACCAACUGGAUCAAGUCAAUGGUAUGCUCCAUCAGUUCAAGGAAGAUUCACAAUCUCCAGAGACAACCCGACCAACACAGUUUCUCUCAAAAUGACCAACCUGAAACCGGAAGACACGGCCGUGUAUUACUGUACUAGAGACACAGCGAGGGGAACUCAUUGUUCCCUGUGCCAAGUUCAGCUGGUGGAGUCUGGAGGAGGCUUGGUGCAGCCUGGAGGGCACCUGACCCUCUCCUGUAAAGCCUCUGGACUCACCUUCACUGACUACAGCAUGGACUGGGUCCGCCAGGCUGCAGGGAAGGGGCUGGAGUGGGUGGCAACAGUGUCAAACAACUGGAUCAAGUCAAUGUAUGUCUCUCACUAUUAUAGAAAAUCUGCUGGCAUAUCCAGACCUGUCGAGUACCCCUGCAUCCAGGCAGAGACACUCUUGUCCACCUGUCCUGCCAGGGACAUUCAAGACAGGGAAGAGGACCUCCGCUGGGCUGUUAAGACAUGA